rnacentral:lncRNA from 1 species
CAAUGUGUGUUGGCGAGAGAGAGAGAGAGAGAGAGAGAGAGAGAGAGAGAGAGAGAUGGGUGCAUGGGUUAAAUGAGCUGAAUACGAGAGAAAGCGCGCGAGCUGAGUUGGCUUUUUAAAAUAUCGGGCUAGAAAAUAAUUUAUGAGGACGAGGGCGAUCGUACUCAUAAGAGUAUAGUAACUAAAUGGAUGAUCGAAACUUCAAAUUGAUAAUGACUUUUAAAUUUUACAAAAUUUGGUUUCUAAACAUUUCUAAUUGUGUAGAUCAACUUCAACAGUGCCGAUUAUCAAUUUGAAGUUCCGAUCAUUCAAAUCGACUUGAUAGGACAAGGGUCCCGAUCCUAUUAAUAGGAUAGUAGCCGGACCAUAUAUCCGGCUACUGUACUAUCGAUAGCACGGAGCCUUCCGUGCUACCAAGUUGUUUUCGAUGAUGCGGCUUCCAAAUCGACGAUCGGCUCCGUUAAACUUGAUCUACACUAUUAAAAGUAUUUGGAAACUAAAUUUUAUAAUUUUUCGAUAUCAUUUACCUAUCAAAGAAAUAGUCUAAAAUUGAACGGCUGAAAAUAAAAAUCUCAUAAAAAAUGAUAAUAAAANAGGGGAAACAUGUAUUAUAUGUAUAGCAUGAUGUAGUACUCUAACGAAGAGAGAGAGAGAUCUAGAGAGAGAGAGAGAGGAAAAGGAAAAGAUGGGUGGAGAGAGUGGAGAAGUGGAGAGAGUGGGGCGUCGGCGCUCGGAACACAAGAGGGGCGUCGACGUGUGGCACCUCGCCAACGCGUAGCUUCCAUGACCACCACCACCCCCUCCACAGUGCGCGCACACGUACGCAAUGUGUGUUGGCGAGAGAGAGAGAGAGAGAGAGAGAGAGAGAGAGAGAUGCGUGCAUGGGUUAAAUGAGCUGAAUACGAGAGAAAGCGCGCGAGCUGAGUUGGCUUUUUAAAAUAUCGGGCAAGAAAAUAAUUUAUGAAAAUGAGGGCGAUCGUACUUAUAAGAAUAUAGUAACCAAAUGGAUGAUCGAAACAUUAAAUUGAUAAUGACUUUUAAAUAUUACAAAAUUUGGUUUCUAAACAUUUCUAAUUGUGUAGAUCAACUUCAACGGUGCCGAUUAUCAAUUUGAAGUUCUGAUCAUUCAAAUCGACUUGAUAGGACAAGGGUCCCAAUCUUAUUAAUAGGAUAGUAGCCGGACCCUAUAUAUAUAUAUAUAGUCCGGCUACUAUACUAUCGGUAGCACGGGGCCUUCCGUGCUAUCAAGUUGUUUUCGAUGAUGCGGCUUCCAAAUCGACGAUCGGCUCUGUUAGACUUGAUCUACACUAUUAAAAGUAUUUGGAAACUAAAUUUCAUAAUUUUUCGAUAUCAUUUACCUAUCAAAGAAAUAGUCUAAAAUUGAACGGCUGAAAAUAAAAAUCUAAUAAAAAAUGAUAAUAAAAGAUUUAAAUUUAAGAUCAGAUAUACUGAUCUUACUCUAAAUAGUGAAAAAAAUUUUCUAUAAAAUUUUCAUCCGAUUUGGAUUGUUUUACACCGUUAAACUCACAAACACGCCACAUCGGCCAUUAAAAUGGUCAAUUUUGAGAUCUUUUGAUCACUAGUCAAAUGAUGCCGAAAAAUUAUGAAAUUUAGUUUCCAAAUACUUUUAAUAUUGUAGAUCAAGUCUAACGAAGCCGAUCGUCAAUUUGAAAGCCGCAUCAUCGAAAACAACUUGGUAGCACGGGAGGCCCCGUGCUAC